rnacentral:SRP_RNA from 1 species
GCCAGGGCAGGGAUGAAGCAGCAGCAGCAGGU